rnacentral:rRNA from 1 species
AGUGAACGCUGGCGGCAGGCCUAACACAUGCAAGUCGAACGGCAGCACAGUAAGAGCUUGCUCUUACGGGUGGCGACUGGCGGACGGGUGACGAGUACAUCGGAAUCUACUUUUUCGUGGGGGAUAACGUAGGGACACUUACGCUACUACCGCAUACGACGUACGGGUGAAAUCAGGGGAUCUUCGGACCUUGCGUGAUUGUAUGAGCCGAUGUCGGAUUAGCUAGUUGGCGGGGUAAAGGCCCACCAAGGCGACGAUCCGUAGCUGGUCUGAGAGGAUGAUCAGCCACACUGGAACUGAGACACGGUCCAGACUCCUACGGGAGGCAGCAGUGGGGAAUAUUGGACAAUGGGCGAAAGCCUGAUCCAGCCAUGCCGCGUGGGUGAAGAAGGCCUUCGGGUUGUAAAGCACUUUUAUUGGGGAAGAAAAGCAGCAGGUUAAUACCCCGCUGUUCUGACGGUACCCAAAGAAUAAGCACCGGCUAACUUCGUG